AUUUCCUUCUCCAUUUCUGUGAGCUCUUCCAGGAUGUGCUGGGUGAGACAGGUUCGAGUUGGAUGGACAGUGCUACAGAGUAAUACCCUCUGUGAGAGACAACGGGCAGUGGGAGCUGAGGUCUACCAGGGUCUCCUGAGAAGACACUUUCAGUUCUGGCAGAACCCUGUUUUAGUCUGUUGGGCCUUUACUCCCACUGAGGGCAGAGAGAGUCUCCCUGAUGCCUUUGUUGGAUGCUGAUCUGGAAUCAGUCUGCACAUGGCCUUUCCUUUUGAAGGCAAAGUACACUUUUAUUUGCCAAAGUUAACAAACAGCAGCAUCAGAACCUAUCCCUGAACAGUUUGAGACUUUAGCCUCUCCAUUCCGUCUGUUGGAUGGAAUGGAUCCACUCCACUGCCUUCUGAGCCAAAGCCUGCAGCCCUUCUACUGGAUUUAUUUAGUGAUGCCUUUUAUUUCAAGAAGUAUGAACUGAGUAAAACUUGAGGGAGAACUAAUGGAUUCACCCCAGAGACAGCAGAAGGAUGUUCUUCACUUCUCAGACUUCUUUAGGAGCAGUGACGGGACAGGCUGCCCUGUGUGGAUCCUCUUUGCAGACAGACAUGACCUGUGGAAAAUGGAGGUGCAUUUCUGAGGGGCAAAUCAGGGGAAAUCCACGGCCAGUGACUCUACAGACUAAAAGGCAAGUUAGCUGUGUAGAUACCAGGGUAUCAAAGGGCCUGUAGGACAUGAGGCAUUGGUGGAAAUUGGAAUUAAGUGUUUUGUUUGUCAUCUCUAUGGACACGAGGCCACAAAGCACCACGAAGAGAAGCUGACCAUGGAAUCUCUGGAGCUGGAAAUGCCACAGACUCAGGGCCUUGUUUCUGUAGCUGCCAUGAGUUACACUGCUCAAAUCAAACAGGACCUUUUCCUCAUGUCCACAGCUAAUUUUUCCUGGUUAAAUACGAUUGAAGGAUUGUACUCAUUGACUGUUACACAUCAGAGACUGAUCUGCGGCUGCAUUAACUGACUGUGUUCCCAUGGAUCUUUGUAUUCCUGCACAUUCUGAGAGCUGCUGCUCCAAAGUGAAGCCAACUUUUCCUUAUCAUCCCUAUUUUUAAAGCAUGGGCUCAUUGUUUGAUCUGGCAGAUUUCAUUUCAGUGCUCUGAGGUUUAGAGAGGCUGUUUCUAAUACAAAGCCUUAUUGCCACCCCCCUGCUGUACAUGUUUCACUUGAACUUUUCAUAAGUACUGCAAAACUUGAGGGAAGUAAGCAAAGCGUAGGUGGUGCUGAAGUCCAAUACUUCGAUCACGAUCCAUUUCUGCAGACAUGCUGCUUCAUUCCCGUCUAUAGGGGAAUCUAUUCCCACCUGUAAUCUCCUAUUGAAAGCAAUUAUUUGAUAUCACAAACUUUUUAAGCACAUCUGAAGUGAGAAGUGAAAGGCCAUUGGUUUUCAUUUCCCGCAGCG